rnacentral:rRNA from 1 species
UACAGAGGUCUCAAGCGUUGUCCGGAUUUAUUGGGCGUAAAGAGCUCGUAGGCGGCUUGUCGCGUCGACCGUGAAAACUUGGGGCUCAACCCCAAGCCUGCGGUCGAUACGGGCAGGCUCGAGUUCGGUAGGGGAGACUGGAAUUCCUGGUGUAGCGGUGAAAUGCGCAGAUAUCAGGAGGAACACCGAUGGCGAAGGCAGGUCUCUGGGCCGAUACUGACGCUGAGGAGCGAAAGCGUGGGGAGCGAACAGG